rnacentral:rRNA from 1 species
UAAGGAAUAUUGGACAAUGGAGGCAACUCUGAUCCAGCCAUGCCGCGUGAAGGAAGACGGCCUUAUGGGUUGUAAACUUCUUUUAUACAGGAAGAAACCUUUCCACGUGUGGAAAGCUGACGGUACUGUAAGAAUAAGGAUCGGCUAACUCCGUGCCAGCAGCCGCGGUAAUACGGAGGAUCCAAGCGUUAUCCGGAAUUAUUGGGUUUAAAGGGUCCGCAGGCUGUUUGUUAAGUCAGAGGUGAAAUCCUACCGCUCAACGGUAGAACUGCCUUUGAUACUGGCAAACUUGAGUUAUUGUGAAGUAGUUAGAAUGUGUAGUGUAGCGGUGAAAUGCAUAGAUAUUACACAGAAUACCGAUUGCGAAAGCAGAUUACUAACAAUAUACUGACGCUGAGGGACGAAAGCGUGGGUAGCGAACAGG